rnacentral:lncRNA from 1 species
GUCAGUAGUUCCGUUAUAUUUGGUCGUAAACAUUAUUUUGAGUUAAUUCUAUGAGGGGGAGGGGGGAAAAUGUUUUCCUUGGGGAGGGUGGUGAUAAUUGUUUUUACGACACCUUGAGUUGGACCAGCCAAUCACCCCCAGUAAAUGUCGAUCUGUCCCUUAUCCAUAUCUAAGGUAGUAGACAGCUGGUGACAUCCUGAAAGAGAUCGCCGUCCGACAAACUGCUAUCAGUCUUUCGGAGCUAGCAAUAUCUGUUCCUCUUCAUCAGACAGCAGCUCGUGUUUUCACAAGAGGCUAUGUUUACAUCGUAGAUAGAAGCAGACCUUUGGCUGCCUUCAUCACGAGGGAUACCUCACAUUUAUAUGGACAAGUUGUGGCUGCGGUGGCACCUGGUUGGUGUGAGGAGGAUCUAGAGCAAGCGCGGCAGCAGCACCAGAGGAUUAGGAACGCUGACUCAGACUCGGCAAAUGUGAGUCGUCCCACACCUCACAUACAUACAGAACAUACGUUACCAUAACAAACGCACCCACGCAACAACUAAUUCCUGGAAAAUGUGACCUAUUUUGACCCUGUGAUAAUUUCACUCUCCGCCUAAUGAUUUGUGGGACCUGCAAAAGGUGUUCGGACGCCAAGUGAGAGUUAAGGCCAAACUGUUGGCCCAUAUGUUUAGAUUCAAGGCCUUCUGCGCUAACAGUUUUAUUGCCCUCUAAGUCUCAGCCUCCUUGAAAUAUUCCAGCACUGAAAACAGAGCGACAUGACAUCACUGUUGAACCGGUGCUCUCAGGGCAGCCAGGGUCAAGUGCCAUAGCUGCAAAGGGAACAUCUAAACCCCUUGGGCCCCUGGGACAAGACCAGUGGAUCUCCUGAGGCGAGAGAUACCCCCAGAGGUUUGAAG